rnacentral:rRNA from 1 species
UACGGGGGGGGCAAGCGUUGUUCGGAAUUACUGGGCGUAAAGGGCUCGUAGGCGGCCAACUAAGUCGGAUGUGAAAUCCCCAGGCUUAACCUGGGAACUGCAUCCGAUACUGGAUGGCUUGAAUCCGGGAGAGGGAUGCAGAAUUCCAGGUGUAGCGGUGAAAUGCGUAGAUAUCGGGAGGAACACCCGUAGCGAAGGCGGUACUCUGGGCCGAAACUGACGCUGAGGAGCGAAAGCGUGGGGAGCGAACAGG